rnacentral:rRNA from 1 species
UACGUAGGGGGCGAGCGUUGUCCGGAUUUACUGGGCGUAAAGCGCUUGUAGGUGGCCACGCCAAGUCGGAUGUGAAAGCCCCGGGCUCAACCCGGGAAGUGCAUUCGAAACUGGCGAGCUUGAAUAUGGAAGAGGGUCGCGGAAUUCCCGGUGUAGAGGUGAAAUUCGUAGAUAUCGGGAGGAACACCAGUGGCGAAGGCGGCGACCUGGGCCAAUAUUGACGCUGAGGUGCGAAAGCGUGGGGAGCAAACAGG